rnacentral:rRNA from 1 species
UGCAAGUCGAACGGACUCAACCGAAAUAUUUAUAUUUUGGAGCGGUUAGUGGCGGACUGGUGAGUAACGCGUAAGCAAUCUGCCUAUUAGAGGGGAAUAACAGUGAGAAAUCACUGCUAAUACCGCAUAUGCCAUGAACAUCGCAUGAUGAAAAUGGGAAAGGAGUAAUCCGCUAAUAGAUGAGCUUGCGUCUGAUUAACUAGUUGGUGUGGUAAUGGCAUACCAAGGUAACGAUCAGUAGCCGGACUGAGAGGUUGAACGGCCACAUUGGGACUGAGAUACGGCCCAGACUCCUACGGGAGGCAGCAGUCGGGAAUAUUGCGCAAUGGAGGAAACUCUGACGCAGUGACGCCGCGUAUAGGAUGAAGGUUUUCGGAUUGUAAACUAUUGUCAUUAGGGAAGAUAAAAGACAGUACCUAAGGAGGAAGCUCCGGCUAACUACGUGCCAGCAGCCGCGGUAAUACGUAGGGAGCAAGCGUUAUCCGGAUUUAUUGGGUGUAAAGGGUGCGUAGACGGGAGAUUAAGUUAGUUGUGAAAGCCCUCGGCUUAACUGAGGAAUUGCAACUAAAACUGGUUUUCUUGAGUGCAGGAGAGGUAAGUGGAAUUCCUAGUGUAGCGGUGAAA